rnacentral:lncRNA from 1 species
CUGUUAAAAUUCAUCUUGUUUUUGCCCAGUUCUCUAAUCUGUCAAGGUCAUUUUGAAGUGUGAUCCUGUCCUCUGGGGUGUUAGCCACCCCUCCCAGUUUGGUGUUAUCUGCAAAUUUGAUCAGGAUGCCCUUGAGUCCAUCAUCCAAGUCGUUGAUAAAGAUGUUGAAUAAGACCGGGCCCAAGACAGAACCCUGUGGCACCCCACUAGUCACUCUUCUCCAGGAUGAAGAGGAACCAUUGAUGAGCAUCCUUUGGGUUCAGUCAGUCAGCCAGUUACAAAUCCACUGAGUGGUAGCAUAGUCAAGACUGCAUUUUACCAGCUUCUUUACAAGAAUAUCAUGGGGCACCUUGUCAAAUGCGUUGCUGAAAUCAAGGUAGGCUACAUCCACUGUGUUCCCUUCAUCUACCAGGCUUGUAAUUCUGUCAAAAAACGAGAUCAGGUUAGUCUGACAUGACUUAUUUUUCAGAAAUCCAUGCUGACUAUUGGUGAUCCCAGCAUUCCUUUCUAGGUGCUCACAGACUGUUUGCUUAAUGAUCUGCUCCAGAAUCUUCCCUGGUAUUGAUUUCAGACUGACUGGGCGGUAAUUAUUUGGGUCCUCUCUUUUCCCCUUUUUGAAAAUAGGGACAACAUUUGCCCUCCUCCAGUCUGCCGGGACUUCGCCUGUUCUCCAGGAAUUCUCAAAGAUGACUGCCAGUGGUUCUGAGAUCACAUCUGCCAGUUCUUUUAAUACUCUUGGAUGCAGUUCAUCUGGCCCUGGAGACUUGAAUACAUCUAAACUAGCCAAGUAUUCUUGUACUAUCUCCUUAGUUAUUCUCGGCUGUGUUUCCUCUGCUGAAUCAUUUGCUCCAAAUUCUUCAGGUCGGGUAUUGUUUUCUUUAUCGGAGAAGACUGAGGCAAAGAAGGCAUUGAGGAGUUCAGCCCUUUCUGUGUCCCCUGUUUUGCAUUUCACCAUCUCCUCCUCUGAGUGACCCCACUGUUUCUUUGUUCUUCCUUUUGCUACAUAACUUGUGUGCUUACUGUAUGCGGCCUGAAUUUCAUUGGAAGAAAGGUGGGAUAUAUAUAUUAAAAGUGUAGUGCAAUGUAAUGUAGAUGCACUUCUAAACCUUUCCCUCCCAUGUUACAGUUUUCGGGAUCAAGGGUGACUUGAUAGAAGGAACCUAUGACCCAAAGUAUAAAGACCAUAACAUUAUCUUAGGCUGUAGCAUUACUAAGGGCUCAUUCUCAUGACCCCAUGUGAGGUGGAACAUUGUAUGGCUUCCCUCAGUAACAAUUCCUAUAGAGGUAUUGUCCAGUCAAACACUGCAGUUGUAACGUUUGUAUAACAACCAGUUAAGUCCAGUCACUAUGUGGUUACUUUCUACACAACUGUUGUCUAGCUCAACAGCAUAUAAUCAGCUCACAUCCCCAUGAUCAACCUCCACUAUACUACUACUAUUCCAAGAUUUAUGGCAGCUGAGGUGUACUAUUUCUGAAUUCAAAUUGGUACUGCACUUUAUUCUUACUGCAAAAAAAGCUUUACCAUUAAGGUUUCAGACUCUUCCCACACCCCACCCUGAAAGGAGCCCUGCUUUUCUGUUUCUUCAGAAGGUACUGAUCCAGGCAUAUUUCUGGAUUGGGAAACCCAGAGGAGAAACUCCUGCAGAAACAGAGGUCCUGUGCUGCUCUGAGGGGAUAUUAUUUUGCUGCAUCUCUGCUUGGAAAUGAUUGAAUCAUUCAAUCACCCCCAGUGCAGAAGCACAGUUGAAGUACUGGCCUCCAGCUGAGGCUCACUGGAAGAAAGCAAGGCCAGCACAGCGAUACAUGCAGAAAUGUAUCUGUCAGCCACCUCUGCAAAUGGGUACUUUGAGCUCACCAGUGCUCCCAGGGCAGCAUAAUGGUCAGGAUACUGGACUAGGGAGCAGGAAGACCCAGGUUCAAACCUGCCCUCAACCGCGAUAGUCACUGGGUGUCCUUAGCCUUGUCACGCCCUCUCAGCCUAAGCUGCCACACAAGGGUGUUUGAGGAUUCAAGCGGGGAGCCAUGAACACCACCCCGAGCUACUUGGGAGAGGGGCAGAAUAUGACAAAUAAAAAUGCAAUUGCUCCAGUAUGCAGAUGUUAUUUAUAUCCUGAGUAGAAGUGGUAACCACUACCCAAUAGUAUUGUAUGAAGAAAGCCCCCUGCCUGCCUUGAAGUGGUCAUUUCUAAUAACAGUCCCUUAAAUCAUAGAUCUCUCCUUGUCUACCUGAGUGAAAACACUUGGGUGGGUGUCUGUUAAUGAUUAAAACUGGGUCUGUUUUGGUAUGCUUGCAUCCAUGCAAGAGUGAUGCAUAACAUACUGUCAGUGUAGUGUGGGGCGUGUCCUCGUGGCACCUGGGGUGCACACACUGGGGGUGAGGUGGGCAAUGUGAGGAGGAUGCAACAGAGCAGCCACUUGCCCUUCCAAUCACUCGGACCGGGCUAAUUUGAAGGGUGCCUGCCUGUUGUGUCCUCCUGGUGCCCUCCUGCCAGCCCCACGUGUCCUCCUGCCAGCCCCACGCUGCUUUGUGAGGCUGGCAUGCCGGAUCAGACUCACAAAGCGGCGUGGGGCUGGCAGGGGUGGUGUUAGGAGCAAAAUGUGCCCCCCCAAAACUGCACCCAGGGCAAUGGCCCCCCUCGCCCUGCCCACACUACGCCUCUGUGUCCAUGCCUGGCUCUUAACAGUGAAAAGUUUAAUUAUAUAUCCUUCCCCCGUGUGACGCUAUCUUUCAUUGAUUUUUCAGGGAGGUGAGGGAGAGUGGGAUAAAACACUAAUUAUCAGCCCUUAUAGCUAUAUUUUUCCUCUUGCUUUGUAAUGUAAAUGAGCUACCUUUAUCUCCUUAAAAAGAAAAGAAGUCAGAGCCUCUAUUGGUGUGUCUUCUGCUUUUAAGAGAGGAAGGGUCACCUGACUGCCGCCUCAUCCUGCUCUUUUAUCUGAGGGAAACCAAGAGUAAUAGGUAGAGAGAUGGGCAUAGAAUAGGUCAUCACUGCUCAGAUGCUUAAAGGACCCUGACUGAAGGAGAGCAGAGUUAGGCUGCUGGUGGGGGGUGGGGAGAGAGACAGAGAGACUCCGGAGCUGCUGCCUGCUUGCCUUCAGAGAGCAGAGAAAACAAAAGCGCUCAGCUGCAGUUUUGUGUUGCUGUGUCUGGCUUUAGCGGAAAAUUCUAGACACCCGUGCUGAAAACUCUCAAGCACAGCCGAGGCUUCUUCCCUCUCAAGAAGAUUAUUUUCUUCCCUUACAAAUGGGUUGGAUCAGUACAGGUGGCCUCACUACCAGGAGAAGGCAGACUGGCUAAAUGAGGACCAUGGAAAGGUAGGCGAAAGGCUCUGCCUGGUUUUCCUGCUCUUAUUUUUCUCUCCACUCCUGCCUUCCUUUCCUGUAUUCGUGCCUGGAGCCAGUGCUUCAGUUUGCUGAGACCUAAAGGGAGAGGGGGUGGUCCAGCUGUGGGCAUUUAAAUCCCACAUUGCCAAAUUGGAAUUUGUAGUGCUACCUGUAAUUGAACAGAUGUGGAACCCAAACUUGAUCCUGAGUCUCACUUGGCUAUAUCGAGGAUGUUCGGUAUUUGCUGUAAAUCUCUGUGCUGCUGUUCUUAUUGCCAACCAACCCCUUUUCACUCAGGAAGUAUCAGAUAAUUGUUAUGUAGGAAGCAAAAAGCAGAAGAACGAACAAUCCAGGGUGCCAGGAAGGCUGAACAGAUGUACUGAUUAUUGGCUCUUUAGCAACAAAGGAAGAAUGGACUUUUUGGAGUUUCUUGAGGUGGCAGCAUUAGGAAAUGAGGGGCAAUUUUAUUUUGACUGUUUGUUCAUUUUAUGAAUGGUCAAGAGGUUAACUUUUGAAGGCUUCCUUCUUCAGCAAUGCCAAAAUCAGCUUGUUCCUUUAGAGUCACUUUCUGGCUGCUAUUAAAAGCAGAGAAACCAUUUAAAAAAUUGCUCUGGUUCCCAAUGGCUUAAAAGCUAGAGCUGGGGAAGAGCCAGGAUUUGGUGUUUCAGACUUCUGUAUCCGCUUGAGUGUGACUGUUGUCAUGUAAAAUAAAAGCUAGCUAUAUCUAGCAGACCUGAAUGCAUUUGUGUUCCUUUCAUAGUGAAUGAUGGAUUUCCUUUUGUUCUUGAACAUGCCUUUUGCCUCUGCCUUUUGGAACAACAACAAAAAAGCAUUGCAUCUGAAUGCAUUGGGGCUUUGUUAUUUAUUUUAAUGUUAGUGAAAGCCAUGUAUACAAAUCUCCCAUUGUGUGGUUAUGCUCUGCUUGAUUCUGAAGUAAACUGGGGGGGGGGGGGUAAAUUGGGAAAAGAGCUGGUCCUGGGGUAAUAUUGGAUGUUUUUAAUCCCUGCCACCUGAAAUGCAUACAGAAGCUUACAUUUAGUGGUAGCUGGCAUUCAGCUCCAUGCCCCACUGAAAUCUGCAACACACAACAGAAAGCACCACAAGAGAACACUAGUAAAUCAGAUUUGUAAUGGGCCCUUUAAAAUUUUCUCCUUAAGGGAUGACUAUCUGGGUCCCCCCUUUGGCCAAAGUAGGAUGCAGUCUGACAGUGCACAGAGCAGCUGCAUGGUGACAUUUUCUCUGGAUACUAGUGAAAAAUGGCUCCACAUCUCUUCUGUAGAGAUGGUCUCUGAGUAGCCACGCAUUUCUCUGAAACAAUUGUUUGUUCUAAUCACUAUGCUUUGCUGAGGCUGCCUGUCUGGUUAAUUUCAGUUUCCUUGUUUGAAACCUCUGCUGUGUAUUGUCAGGGAUACUUGACUAGGAAGAGUGUGGUGGGGGUGGGAAAGGUUGUGGGCGUUUUUCUCCCCCCUUGAAGUAGGAACCCAUGGCAAUAUGACUGCCUCAGUAGACAGGAAAUGUUUAUUACAGACGGGCUGUAUGAAUUCUGCCAACAGCACCACUUCCGACAGUAUUAAUGGAAAAGAGAAGUGUGUUUAAAAUGUACGUGGCUUAGAUAAUGCACCACCCACUGGAAAGGUGGGGGUACAAAAUGCAAAACAGCACUUACUGGGAACUGAAAGGCAUAAGCACCAAUCCUUAGAAGAUGGUCAAUUUCUGAAUGGAUAAUCAUGCUUUUAUGAUAACAUCGCUGCUAGGGAAUUCAAAAGGGAAAGCUCUUGGUCGCAUACAACUAAACAGUGAGGAAGGGAGAGAGAAAUCUUUCUUUUAUUUUGCUUGAAGACAGACUCAUUGAUGAAAAUCACUGAAUCAAAGAGCUGUUGAGUGCUGGCAAACCUGAAGCAUUGUUGUUGGUUUUGUCUAUGUAUUCUGGAUAGCAGAAGCAGGAGGAGAGCUCUUAUAAAAAGCACUGUGUUUAGGGAAAGGAAAGGUAGGGGGUGUAGCCUUGACUGCCUUCCCUUUCCUCCAUAAUGCCAUGUGUGAUAUGAUUUGCCAAGCUGUACUGGAGUUGGCUUAAGAGGAAAUGGAAUCUCCUUCCCACUCCUGCAGUGCCCAGAAAGAGUUAAAGCGUCACAAUAAAUAGCUACCAGGGAAAGAGUGGGCUAGAGAAAUGGGAUGGGUAGUGAGGACAUGAUAUCCAAAAAUAGUGGCUAGAUAAAUUGAUGAUUGAUCUUUGAAUGUGAAAUUAGCAUUUUAUAAAAACACAAAGAAUACUCAGUAUCGAGGCUACAAAAUGCAAUAGUUUCUAUUCAAUUUCAGACAUGACUGGCAGCAAGCAAGCAGUAAUUUUCAGAGCUUCUAUUCUCGUGGCACAAAUGUGGUGCCAAUUACUCAGUAUAAAAGGCACAGCCCUUCAGAUGGUUGUUUAGAAAUGGUGUAAUGUAUCAGAACACUCUUCCCCAAUGCAUGUUUCAAUUCGUUUCCACAGAACUAAAAGCCUGAAGGUGCACUGUGAUUCCACUUCAUCAGAGAAAAUGGUGAAAAUGGACCUCUAAGUGCACACAUGCAGUCUGAUUAAUGCUUUUAUAAACGUAGAUAAUUUCGCCAUCAUAAAUGGCCUAUUCAGAGGAAAGUGAUGCAAUUUACAAGGUGGGGAAAUGUAAAAAGAGGAUUCGAUACUAGCCAUCCUUUACGCCACCAGAGAAACAAUAAUGUCAUGCCAACAUUACACACCCCUUAC